rnacentral:tRNA from 1 species
GCGGAAGUAGUUCAGCGGUAGAACACCACCUUGCCAAGGUGGGGGUCGCGGGUUCGAAUCCCGUCUCCCGCUCCA